rnacentral:rRNA from 1 species
GACGAACGCUGGCGGCGCGCUUAACACAUGCAAGUCGAACGGAAAGGCCUGCUUUCCCUUGUGGAUUGCGGGUACUCGAGUGGCGAACGGGUGAGUAACACGUGAGUGAUCUGCCCCCAACUUGGGUAUAAGCCUGGGAAACUGGGUCUAAUUCCCGAUAGGACUGCAGGGUGGUGCCUGUGGUGGAAAACGAUUUUCUAGUGGUUGGGGAUGAGCUCGCGGCCUAUCAGCUUGUUGGUGGGGUAAUGGCCUACCAAGGCGGCGACGGGUAGCCGGCCUGGGAGGGUGGACGGCCACAUUGGGACGGAGAUACGGCCCAGACUCCUACGGGAGGCAGCAGUGGGGAAUAUUGCACGAUGGGCGGAAGCCUGAGGCAGCGACGCCGCGUGGGGGAUGACGGCCUUCGGGUUGUAAACUCCUUUCGACCGCGAGGAAGCCACCUGGUUGGAAGGGUGGUGACGGUAGUGGUAGAAGAAGCACCGGCUAACUACGUG